ACGCGCAUUGAGUGUAGAAUCCCCUCUCACUGCUCUUCUCAGCAGUGCAUGAUGCGGCGCAAGAUGCCUAUUUCGUCAAUGUCAUCAUAAACAGAUGGGAUAAUGCGGGCAUUACUUGCGCCUGAAGACGUGUGGGUGGAAGGAGUGAGAGAAGAGAGAAAAGGCUUGUGAAGUUACAAGUUAUUUUAUUCAUCACUGAAGAGAAAGGUGUACGCAAACUGUGCCAAAUGAAUGCAGGGUUUGUCUGAGUUAGUGACUAUUACGUUGACUUUGUCAUGGCAGCCAGAGCAUUGCCGGGUGCCGCUCGGCUGAGAAAGGAAGAGGUCGCAUUUGCAGUAUCAGUGUGCGGUCAAUUUCCAGAAACCGCCAUGGCGGGGCUAGCCCAGAAGCUGCAGGAG